GACGAAGGUGGCUAGCGUUGUUCGGUGUCACUGGGCUUAAAGAGUAUGUAGGCGGAAAAGUAAGCGUUUUGUGAAAUCCCUCAGCUUAACUGAGGAAUUGCUUGGCGAACUGCUUUUCUUGAGGCAAGUAGGGGUGCAUGGAACUCUUGGUGGAGCGGUGGAAUGCGUAGAUAUCAAGAGGAACGCCGGUGGUGAAGACGGUGCACUGGGCUUGUCCUGACGCUCAGAUACGAAAGCGUGGGGAGCAAACAGG
rnacentral:rRNA from 1 species